rnacentral:rRNA from 1 species
CCUACGGGAGGCAGCAGUGGGGAAUAUUGCACAAUGGGGGAAACCCUGAUGCAGCGACGCCGCGUGAGUGAAGAAGUAUUUCGGUAUGUAAAGCUCUAUCAGCAGGGAAGAAAAUGACGGUACCUGAUUAAGAAGCCCCGGCUAACUACGUGCCAGCAGCCGCGGUAAUACGUAGGGGGCAGGCGUUAUCCGGAUUUACUGGUUGUAAGGGGGGCGUAGGCGGGAUGUUAAGUCAGAGGUAAAACUUCGGGGCUAAACCCCGUGCGGCCGUUGAAACUGGGGGCCUUGAGUGGGCGAGAGGAAGGCGGAAUGCGUGGUGUAGCGGUGAAAUGCAUAGAUAUUAGGAAGAACCCCAGUGGCGAAGGCAGCCUGCCGGCCAGCUACUGACGUUGAGGCACGAAAGUGUGGGGAGCAAACAGGAUUAGAUACCCGAGUAGUC